UUAUUAUGUCUUGUGGUUUCCAAUGUCUAAUGUCUCAUAGCAGCUUCAUUUUUACAGAUAUCUGCUGUAACUGUCUCCAACAGGUGAUGAGGCCUCACCCAAUGUCAGACCCUCUGUCAGACCACAACCAAGUGGUCCAUUUUUACCUGUUGAUAGGUGUGGAGAGAAGCCAACAGUUGAUAAUGGGGAUUUUAUCAGUGACUCUGACAGAAAUCCAAUGGCACUGACCUUCACAUGCAUUAACUAUUAUAAACUUGUGGGCCCAGAGCAAGUGAUGUGUUAUAAUGAUCAAACGUGGUCAGAGCUCCCCAUUUGUAAAGCUCCCUGUACCUUGGACAAAGGGACUUUUGACGUGCUGGAUCUUCCAAAAGAUAUGUUUGUGAAGGAAGGAGAGAGUCAGACAUUUCGCUGUAAAGAAACUGAUUCUUGGGAACGACCUUUUGUUGCUGAUGUUCUAUGUCAGAAUGGACGAGUGGCAAUUGGCAGAUGUGCAUUGGGCUGCAAACUGGACAAACAGAAUUACCAUUGGCUGGAUCUUACACAGGAUAUGUUUGUAAAGGAAGGACGUCAGACAUGGAACUGUAAACAGAUGGAUCACACUGGUCGUCGUCCUGUUGCAAAUGUUCAAUGUCAUGAUGGACAUUUAUCCGUAGGCGGUUGUUACAUGCAAAACCAAUAUUUGGCCUGGUGAAUCAAUGCAACAAACCCAAAACUGCAGCAAAUCCCCUGGAAGAGAAGACUUACCACGUUGGCCACCAAUCAAGAUCAUGAUGUGUUUGAUAAAGUUGCUUUUACAUUUGGUUCAUGAUAUGGAAUCUGUCUCAUAACACAGGGGGUUAGUAGGGGAGCAGAGAGGAAAGGAGGCCCACCAUCUUAGGAUAGGAGGCUGUCUGACAAGAUUCAGACAGUCAUUCUGAAUGAUUCAAAAGAAAUGAAAAAUACAUGUGGAACAUAAUAAUGGGAAGGUUGAUGAAACAGUUGAUCAGCAAAACAUUUGAUAUUGAUCCUCUAUUCAUUUAAAGCAGCAAACUACUGGUAGUCAAUGGGAGUCAAAUCAAUAGAAUGUACAGUAUACAAUGGACAUGGAUGCAUGUAGAAAAUGUCAUGGCUUGGAUCUAUAAAAGAGAUAUAAUUA